rnacentral:rRNA from 1 species
AAAUUGAAGAGUUUGAUCAUGGCUCAGAUUGAACGCUGGCGGCAGGCCUAACACAUGCAAGUCGAGCGGUAACACAGAGAGCUUGCUCUCGGGUGACGAGCGGCGGACGGGUGAGUAAUGUCUGGGAAACUGCCUGAUGGAGGGGGAUAACUACUGGAAACGGUAGCUAAUACCGCAUAACGUCGCAAGACCAAAGUGGGGGACCUUCGGGCCUCAUGCCAUCAGAUGUGCCCAGAUGGGAUUAGCUAGUAGGUGGGGUAACGGCUCACCUAGGCGACGAUCCCUAGCUGGUCUGAGAGGAUGACCAGCCACACUGGAACUGAGACACGGUCCAGACUCCUACGGGAGGCAGCAGUGGGGAAUAUUGCACAAUGGGCGCAAGCCUGAUGCAGCCAUGCCGCGUGUGUGAAGAAGGCCUUCGGGUUGUAAAGCACUUUCAGCGGGGAGGAAGGCGUUAAGGUUAAUAACCUUGGCGAUUGACGUUACCCGCAGAAGAAGCACCGGCUAACUCCGUGCCAGCAGCCGCGGUAAUACGGAGGGUGCAAGCGUUAAUCGGAAUUACUGGGCGUAAAGCGCACGCAGGCGGUCUGUCAAGUCGGAUGUGAAAUCCCCGGGCUCAACCUGGGAACUGCAUUCGAAACUGGCAGGCUAGAGUCUUGUAGAGGGGGGUAGAAUUCCAGGUGUAGCGGUGAAAUGCGUAGAGAUCUGGAGGAAUACCGGUGGCGAAGGCGGCCCCCUGGACAAAGACUGACGCUCAGGUGCGAAAGCGUGGGGAGCAAACAGGAUUAGAUACCCUGGUAGUCCACGCCGUAAACGAUGUCGAUUUGGAGGUUGUGCCCUUGAGGCGUGGCUUCCGGAGCUAACGCGUUAAAUCGACCGCCUGGGGAGUACGGCCGCAAGGUUAAAACUCAAAUGAAUUGACGGGGGCCCGCACAAGCGGUGGAGCAUGUGGUUUAAUUCGAUGCAACGCGAAGAACCUUACCUGGUCUUGACAUCCACAGAACUUUCCAGAGAUGGAUUGGUGCCUUCGGGAACUGUGAGACAGGUGCUGCAUGGCUGUCGUCAGCUCGUGUUGUGAAAUGUUGGGUUAAGUCCCGCAACGAGCGCAACCCUUAUCCUUUGUUGCCAGCGGUUAGGCCGGGAACUCAAAGGAGACUGCCAGUGAUAAACUGGAGGAAGGUGGGGAUGACGUCAAGUCAUCAUGGCCCUUACGACCAGGGCUACACACGUGCUACAAUGGCAUAUACAAAGAGAAGCGACCUCGCGAGAGCAAGCGGACCUCAUAAAGUAUGUCGUAGUCCGGAUUGGAGUCUGCAACUCGACUCCAUGAAGUCGGAAUCGCUAGUAAUCGUAGAUCAGAAUGCUACGGUGAAUACGUUCCCGGGCCUUGUACACACCGCCCGUCACACCAUGGGAGUGGGUUGCAAAAGAAGUAGGUAGCUUAACCUUCGGGAGGGCGCUUACCACUUUGUGAUUCAUGACUGGGGUGAAGUCGUAACAAGGUAACCGUAGGGGAACCUGCGGUUGGAUCACCUCCUUACCUUAAAGAA